rnacentral:rRNA from 1 species
AACGAACGCUGGCGGCAGGCUUAACACAUGCAAGUCGAGCGCCCCGCAAGGGGAGCGGCAGACGGGUGAGUAACGCGUGGGAAUCUACCCAUCUCUACGGAAUAACGCAUGGAAACGUGUGCAAAUACCGUAUACGUCCUCCGGGAGAAAGAUUUAUCGGAGAUGGAUGAGCCCGCGUUGGAUUAGCUAGUUGGUGGGGUAAAGGCCUACCAAGGCGACGAUCAAUAGCUGGUCUGAGAGGAUGAUCAGCCACACUGGGACUGAGACACGGCCCAGACUCCUACGGGAGGCAGCAGUGGGGAAUAUUGGACAAUGGGCGCAAGCCUGAUCCAGCCAUGCCGCGUGAGUGAUGAAGGCCCUAGGGUUGUAAAGCUCUUUCACCGGUGAAGAUAAUGACGGUAACCGGAGAAGAAGCCCCGGCUAACUUCGUGCCAGCCGCCGCCGUAAAAC